rnacentral:rRNA from 1 species
GACGAACGCUGGCGGCGUGCUUUACACAUGCAAGUCGAACGGAAAGGCCUCUUUCGGGGGGUACUCGAGUGGCGAACGGGUGAGUAACACGUGAGUAACCUGCCCUUGACUUUGGGAUAACUUCAGGAAACUGGGGCUAAUACCGGAUAGGAGCUCCUGCUGCAUGGUGGGGGUUGGAAAGUUUCGGCGGUUGGGGCUGGACUCGCGGCUUAUCAGCUUGUUGGUGGGGUAGUGGCUUACCAAGGCUUUGACGGGUAGCCGGCCUGAGAGGGUGACCGGCCACAUUGGGACUGAGAUACGGCCCAGACUCCUACGGGAGGCAGCAGUGGGGAAUAUUGCACAAUGGGUGGAAGCCUGAUGCAGCAACGCCGUGUGCGGGAUGACGGCCUUCGGGUUGUAAACCGCUUUCGCUCAUGACGAAGCUUUGUGUGACGGUAGUGGGUAAAGAAGCACCGGCUAACUACGUG